CAGUAGCCACGGUAAUACAGAGGGUGCGAGCGUUAAUCGGAUUUACUGGGCGUAAAGCGUGCGUAGGCGGCUUCUUAAGUCGGAUGUGAAAUCCCUGAGCUUAAUUUAGGAAUUGCAUUCGAUACUGGGAAGCUAGAGUAUGGGAGAGGAUGGUAGAAUUCCAGGUGUAGCGGUGAAAUGCGUAGAGAUCUGGAGGAAUACCGAUGGCGAAGGCAGCCAUCUGGCCUAAUACUGACGCUGAGGUACGAAAGCAUGGGGAGCAAACAGGAUUAGAUACCCCCGUAGUCCCUGUCUCUUAUAA
rnacentral:rRNA from 1 species